UUGGAUGUGCAAAGUACAUCUCAUCCAGCAUAUAAAGAUCUGAUCUGACGGCGAUUUGAGUGAGCAUUGAGCUGGAGUCAAGUGAACAGGCUUUCGGCGGACAAUUGGCAUGCAAAUAUGUAGGCUAUAAAAUGGAAACGGACUUUAAAGCAACUUAAGCACAAGAUAUUGGGAGGCGAUGGAACUGUAAUGUACUGAUCUUUCGCUGCAAGAUACUAAUAUACCAAGUUAUAUUUUAACCAGCGUUAUCUUGAGGUAUAGCAAUCUGGGCCUUUGCCUUUCCAACCACUCUCAAGCGGAUCGUACCCCAACAACGAUCUGGUUUCGUAUUCAACCUGUGCGUUAAUCAAUAUGUAGUCUAUAUAAUGAUAGACUAUGGACCAGUGCCAACCGUCUGUGAACUACUCGAAAGCGAACUUCCGGUUGCAAAUCAACUUCGCUUAGUUCGGAUUAGAUCCAACUACUCGAUGACUAAACUCUUUACUGCUUCUCUUUUAACCAUACACAAAAAUUACAAAAAAAAUGUUUUCUCAAAUUAUAUGAGCAGACUAGAAAGAGAUAAAGUGAAUAUUGAAGUCGAUAAACGAA